AUACCACUACUUUUAACGUUAUUUUAC
rnacentral:snRNA from 1 species